GAUGAACGCUGGCGGCGUGCCUAAUACAUGCAAGUCGAGCGAACAGACGAGGAGCUUGCUCCUCUGACGUUAGCGGCGGACGGGUGAGUAACACGUGGAUAACCUACCUAUAAGACUGGGAUAACUUCGGGAAACCGGAGCUAAUACCGGAUAAUAUAUUGAACCGCAUGGUUCAAUAGUGAAAGACGGUUUUGCUGUCACUUAUAGAUGGAUCCGCGCCGCAUUAGCUAGUUGGUAAGGUAACGGCUUACCAAGGCAACGAUGCGUAGCCGACCUGAGAGGAUGGUGGUCGGCACCAGAGCUGCGACGACACCCUGCAGCCUACGACAGGCAGCAGUAGGGAAUCUUCCGCAAUGGGCGAAAGCCUGACGGAGCAACGCCGCGUGAGUGAUGAAGGUCUUCGGAUCGUAAAACUCUGUUAUUAGGGAAGAACAAAUGUGUAAGUAACUAUGCACGUCUUGACGGUACCUAAUCAGAAAGCCACGGCUAACUACGUG
rnacentral:rRNA from 1 species